rnacentral:misc_RNA from 1 species
GUAGGUGAACCUGCGGAAGGAUCAUUAACACAAUACAUUUACCCAAAUGUAUUUUAACCCCCCUUUGCAAACUUGUUUCAUAUUGUUUUUUCCCGGAUACGUAGUGAGUGAGUGAGUGAGCGAGAGGCGUAACACCCCUCUUCUUCUUCUUCUGCUUACUUUGUAUCUGUGGUUUCAAACCUUUUUAACCCCUUGAACUGUCUUUGACUGAAACUCUGAGUAAUGACACGCAAGUGUGAUUGCUCUGCCAUAUAUCAAACGCUGAACAACUCUUAGCAACGGAUAUCUUGGCUCUC